GCGUGAGUGAUGAAGGCUUCGGGUCGUAAAGCUCUGUGGAGAGGGACGAAAGCCCAGCGGUUAAUAGCCGCUGGUUUGACGGUACCUCUUUAGCAAGCACCGGCUAACUCCGUGCCAGCAGCCGCGGUAAUACGGAGGGUGCAAACGUUGCUCGGAAUCAUUGGGCGUAAAGCGCACGUAGGCGGUCUGAUAAGUCGGACGUGAAAGCCCUCGGCUCAACCGAGGAAGUGCGUUCGAAACUGCCAGACUUGAGUACGGGAGAGGGUCGCGGAAUUCCCGGUGUAGAGGUGAAAUUCGUAGAUAUCGGGAGNGAACACCAGUGGCGAAGGCGGCGGCCUGGACCGAUACUGACGCUGAGGUGCGAAAGCGUGGGGACAAACAGGAUUAGAUACCUGGUAGUCACGCCGUAA
rnacentral:rRNA from 1 species